GAGGUUUUUGCUCUUUUUUUUUUCAGUCGUCGCCCACGUUUCCCGUUGAUCCAUUCGUCCGUUCCGUUCUCCGUGGCGUCGCUCCGCUCCUCCCGUCGCCGUCGCCUAGGCCAGUACCUACCGCCACCGUUGCCGUCGCCCGCCGGAGUCCUGCGACCCAAGGCCUUCCGCUCCGUCCCGCGCGCGCCCCGUCGAGCAUCAUUACCUGCGAAGCUCUUCCACGAAGCCACGGAAGCCGCGCCGUGAACGAGGCCGGCGGCAGUAUGGUUCGCUUCCGCGACGUGCAAAAGCCAUCUGCGCAAGUGCCGAGAGACGGCCACCCGCCGUGCUGCCGAUGCACCGGGGUCAACCUGUUUUUGCGCUGCACGUCUCCCCGUAAGCUCCGCCACUGCUACACGGGUGUUGGACGGCCGGACGGGAGGUUCAAGGCCAGCUUUCUCCUUCCCAACGUGAUCGCCUGCGGAAGCUCGCGGCGUUGAAGAUCGGUAGCGGUCUUCUUGGCUGUAAAUCUGGAAUCCUAAUUUCUGGAAGAUGCAGGUUGGUCCCAAUCAACCUUUCUCCUUAAUCCGAAUUUCUGCACUGCCUGUAAGGUUUGUAGCAACAGUUGGAUAUGUGCGGCUGGUCGCCGGCGGAUUUGGUACCGCUAGGUAAGGUUGUAGGGAUGGGGCCACGUGCGGAGGCGGUGGGACAGGCAGCGACGUCACCGUGUGCUUCGCCGUCCAGGGAGCCUGGACUUGCUGCUGGGUGCACGAAUCACGAUCCCGUCACUUCGGCCAUCCCUGUCCCAGCGGCCCAGCCGAAUUUGUUGUCUCUGCUCUUGUCCCUGUUCUUCCUCGCUGAAUACAGGUAGUUCUAUAUCCUUUUCUUUUGUGAGCUGCUAGCCUGCUACUGCUUGUGUGCUUCUGAUUGCUGCAUUCAGUAUACAUGGAUUGUGAUUCUUUCAAUUGUCUGUGCAAUUUAUGAGCUAUUCAGUAUUCACUCAUAGUUAACUACUGCCGCUGCUGGAAUGUUGUAGCACAAGAUUUAGAACUAUGAUUUAUUACAAAUAUUCUAACUGCUGUGGCUAAGACAUAAUAACACAAUGUUUGCAUGUAAUCAUUGUGUUCAUUUUAUUUCUUUCUAGAAGUACUCAUCAUAGUAUAUUUGCUUAGCUUGAUGUGGUUUUUUUCAGAUAAAGGAAUUUCAGCUCGAUGUGAUAUGCUUAACCAAAUUCACUUCAAUGCUGGACUGGGGACAUGGAGUCCCAGCAUGCGCCAAGCAAGCUGUGGCGGAUUCUUGCAUGAAAGAUGCAUAAUUUUCUUUGUUGAUGCAUGUCACAUUUGAGCUACCUGUAUCUUUGCAGUUUCUUGUCAUCGUAGAUUGUGGCGAUGAGGGCCAUUGUGGAUCUACCCAAAUCGCGUUUGAUUGGACCAUCCGAUCAAGGCUCCGUACCUCCUUCUCUAUCAGAUAGUUUACUCACCCUAGAGAAGCAUGGUUGCGAUCAUGCAGUGGAGCAGCAACUUUGGAACCAUCCAUGUUGGCAUAUCCGGCAACGUGGUGGGGCCAUGGGAGUAUUUGCCUCUCUGUUUUGGUACCUUAUCCUUCAACUUUGUCAUCCAUCUGGCCAUCCAAAUCUAAAGACAGCUAUGGCUUGCAUGUUCUGAUCAAGGACUCGAAGGACCCAUCCAAACAAGGUGACAAUCUAUAGGAGUGAAGGCUUGCUGAAGAAUUGGGUACAAGGCUACAAGCAAUAGCAUGUCAAGAUCUGCAGCUUAGAGAGGCGCUGCUGUUUGUGGCGUGGAGGCAACACAAGGAAUCAAGGAUGUUGAGUCAAACGAAUUCUACAAUGUUUUAUGAUGAAGAUACUUUUUUGUGACCAACCCAGUUUUUGGUGCACCAGGGUGACUGAUUCUAUUUACCGAUCCCUACAACGCAUUUACUAGUUACUACUUCGUCAAUUAGCAGAGCAAAAACACUUUUGUUUUGGCUGGUUCAGUUUCCUUUCUAACUGUCAUCAGUUUGUACUUAUGCUCCUGAUCAUUUUGUUUUGGCUCUUGCAUUAGAUGGGUACUAGUUCAAGCUAUGCAUUAAAGCCUAGAUCAGAGUCUGGAUUCAUUGGUUUUCUUAUUGAACUACCUUGUGUUAGUUUUCUAAAAUCUUCUCAGUAUCUCUUCUUAAAUUGCACCUACUAGACUUUAGGCAUAAUGUGGUAUCAAUAUAUCUGAUAUUUCAGUUUUGAGGUUUCUGAUUGUUACAGUUUAUUGUAUGUUUAGUACAAAUUCUUGUGUGACAAAUUGGUGCUCAUAUGCUCAUAAAUCCCAAAUCUGAUCAACAUUGUUGUCCAUAUGCAUGCUUACGUAUUCUGAAAUUUCAGUAUCUGAUUAUGCAUGUCACUUUGAUUUCCCCGUCAUGAGCAGAAUCUGGAUUGCCUCAGUCUUUCUCUGAGCUAUGAAGUAUAUAUAAUGGCAUGGUGCUCCAUAUAGUGUGGAUUUUUUUCUUAACUAUCUUGUUAGCUGACUAUUUACUGGUAAUAAGAGAACAACCAUGCUAUCCUGGUUGAGUUCAGACCCUCCUAGUAAGAAAUAAAAAGUAAUUCGUGUAAUUUUGUUACUCCUUGCCAAUUUCACCUUCUGAAUGUUAUUGUUUUGAAGCUCUGAUCAUGUGAGUGAAUUGAUAAUGAAAGCCAGUGAUAUCCUGAUUAACAGGAGCACCGCUGCAGCGACAUCGCGGGGUGGGUGUUUCGCCGACCAGCCGUGCCCACUGCCCAUGACAUGCCGCUGGCCGCAUGAUCUCUAAUGCCAUCACUACCACCGUCGGAUUUGUGCUCUGCCCAGUACAUCUCUAUCCUUUUCUUUUUGUUGAUGUUGCUGGUACUCUCCGUGUGAUUGUGUGCUAAUAGCCUGCUACAAGUGUAAUCUAGUUGUAAAAUUGAUGGGAUUUUUAUGGAUUAAGUGAAAAAUGACGCACCAACAAAAAAUUGAUUCUUUCUUAUCCAAUUACACAGUUCUUAUGUAGUUAUCCUGAUACAUGUUGUAAAGUAAAAUUUAUAUCCAGUACGUGAUACAUGUUUCUUCUUUCCUUUAGCCAGUAUAUGCAAUCAAUCAUUUUAGGAUUAAUCAAAUGGUCAUAUGGAUGUAAACAAACCCUUCAUUUCCUGACUAGCUGUAGAGACAUUGGAGAUUUUUCAUUUUGCGAUCUUCUGUAGCAUAUGGAAAUUAUUCCUGCACUUUGCAGUGCUCAUUUUUCUGGCAAAACCUGAUGCAGAGGUGAUUGUGUCACAUCAUUUGCUUAAUUUUUGGUAAAUCUAGACUGGAUUUACAUGCAUAUGAAUGCUACUUAUUUCCUAGAGCUAUACUGCGUGGUAAUGUAUUUUCAGUUUGUCUUCAGGUCAUCAUGCUUCAGAAUAGUGAUGCUAUCACUAUUCUUCCUUAAAUAUUGGAAAUACUCAUUGGUACAAAGAUAUCUUUUUUCUUUUGAAUCAGCAUAUACUAGUUAGGAAUAACAUGGUAGCAAUACAUCCCACUAAGGUGAUCUUUGUGCUGCAUUUCAGAUCAAGUAUAAGUUCUCUUUUUGCACAGUUUCUGCUGCAUUUCAGAUGAAGUUUCAGCAUUAACUGAAGGCCAUAAGAAUCAGGUUGACUAGCUGAUGACCACGGAGAUCAGAAGAAUCAGGUUGACUAGCUGGAGGCCAUAAGAUUAAGUGUGUAUUGCCUUAGAUCAGGUUGACUAAUGUUAGACAGAUUAGUCUCCUGCAGAGGUAUAAGUCCCCACAAUACGCAAUGGCGGUUUAGUUCUGCACUAGCGAUGCUGCAUAGCCUGCGUGCUUGCGAGUGAUGUGCAGAGUCCUAGCGAUGGAAAUCACCAGCGACUGCAAGAAUGUGGCAUGGCGGCACCAGAGCACCUCCAACAAUAGUUUCCUAAUAAAUAUCUUUCAAUAAGAUAGUGUUGGGAUGUUUCAAUACCACUUUCAUAGAUUAUUGGAAGAGAUGAUUUUACAAUUCUCCAAUAAUCUCAUCCCAAUACAAC